CUUUCUACUCUCUGUUUAAUGAAGAAGAGCUUUUGUUUCUUUGGUCCAGACUUCUUACUUGGUAUUUUUUGUCUUGUCCCACUUUUCUUUUAAAUGUUUUCUUAAGUGCAAAAUAUGAAUGACUAUUUUUCCCCUAAAUGUUCACUUCUGGAUUUUUUCCUACUGUCGUGGUAGAACAUGGUUCCAUGAAAUCAAGGAACAGAUUUUUGUCUUUUCACUAAUGUUCACCUUUUAUUGGCAUUUAAAUAAUUUGAGAGUUUUGGGGUUUUUUAAAGGCAUCUAACUAUCAAGAGUUACUACAAGUAAUAAGAGUCAACGUGAUAUUAGUUUUAGAUCUUUUCAGGAAAUGUUGAUAUGGGUUAGAUAGAAUAGCUGAGUAUUACAAGACUAAGAUGAGUAAAAUAUAUGAAAUAGAGUUUGAUAAGGGGCUGAUCUUGGAGGGGCAGUCAAAACUCUUACCAGAUGAAGCAAGUUCUUUUGUCAGGAGCAAGUUUCAAAAGAAUUUGUUUUUUAAAGAGAGAGACCCAUUCUUGAAAAUAUUCACAAUAAUAUGUGAAAGUUUAUUUCCAUUGAAUAUCAUUCUCUACCAAUGUAUUAUUCUGGUAGCCAAAUCUAUUUGAAAGUGACCUUUAAAUACGUUUUAUUUUGCACAAAAAGAAUAAUGAAUAACAUUCAGAUCAAAGGCUAUGUUAUUUUUUCAUAGAUUAAAGUACUUGCAGAUAUAGGAUUUUUUACGGAGGCCUUUCAUGAGUUGUCUUUGCUUAUUUCGGGAGUGAGAAUUCCAUGGAAAAUACCAGCAGGAUACAGAUAUACUGAAAAAAUGCAGGCCUUACAGAAAUUUGACUCCUCAAAAUCUCUCAUGAUUGCUACAAAUUUGCAGGUACUGGAAGAUACAUUUAAAUGGAGUCUGUCUUUAACCAUGGUGCCACUAUGCAACCAACAAAUUAUGAAUAAAUUAAUCUUAGCCAAAAUGCAUCUCAUAAUUUGUCUUGCUGCCACAAUAAAUAAUAUACCUGAAAAAGUUGAAAAAAAUGUAUACUCUGUUGACAACAGCUUGCCAGAGCCAAGCAAAACUACUGCAUCAAAUGUAAAAGUUGAUGCUGAUCAGGGUUCAAGACAACAGGAACAAAGAGACAGAAUGGUGCGUCUUGUUGACUGUAAAGAUGAAUUAAAUAUGGC
rnacentral:lncRNA from 1 species